rnacentral:rRNA from 1 species
AGCGAACGCUGGCGGCAGGCUUAAUACAUGCAAGUCGAGCGGGCGUAGCAAUACGUCAGCGGCAGACGGGUGAGUAACGCGUGGGAACGUGCCCUUUGGUUCGGAACAACCCAGGGAAACUUGGGCUAAUACCGGAUAAGCCCUUACGGGGAAAGAUUUAUCGCCGAAGGAUCGGCCCGCGUCUGAUUAGCUAGUUGGUGAGGUAAUGGCUCACCAAGGCGACGAUCAGUAGCUGGUCUGAGAGGAUGAUCAGCCACACUGGGACUGAGACACGGCCCAGACUCCUACGGGAGGCAGCAGUAGGGAAUAUUGGACAAUGGGGGCAACCCUGAUCCAGCCAUGCCGCGUGAGUGAUGAAGGCCUUAGGGUUGUAAAGCUCUUUUGUGCGGGAAGAUAAUGACGGUACCGCAAGAAUAAGCCCCGGCUAACUUCGUGCCAGCCGCCGCAGUAACAC